GUUCCAGAGAACCUAAGUGCGGGAUUGCUACCUGAUCGUUUUGGACUUCUCCAGAUUGAAGAUCAUAAAGCAAAACAAACAAACAAAAUGUUACUGUGCUAACAGGAAUAAUAGAAUCUGAUUAUCAUGAAGAGAUAGGAUUGCUGCCACCUGAUGGAGCCCCAGGUUUUCUUCUCCAUCCAAGGUCAGCUCGUAAAGCAUUUUGCUUUCACCUGCAGAAGACCACAGAUAAAUUUAUGCUGGUUUCUUCACCUGAUAAACCUGUCAAGACAAGAUCCAAGACUCAUCUCUCCCAUUAGUUCAACAAAGCCUUGAUCUCUUUGGAGUAUUAAGUGACAUGCCAGGCACUGGAUAAAUAUCAAAAGGAAACAAAUAAGAAAACACUUUUUAAACAGAGUGGUAGGAGCUAAAACUGAACUGUGUACAGAGGCUUUUCAAGGGAUGAAUAAGUGCUGAGUGGCAGAGUAGAAGAUGGUGGUGCUGGAGAAAGAGUUCUGGGAAAUUUUCACUAAAGUGAUAAACUGUUUGGAACAGGGCUCCCUCCCUAAGUGGUAAUGACCUCUCUGGGAAUAGCCAAUACAAUAUAUGCAUAGUGUGCAAUAUAUGUAUAUGAUGCAUAGUGUGAGUUUUAUAUGCCAUUUGGCCCUUUAAUCCCAAAGGCAUAGACUAUGCUUUGCAUCAGAGGCUGCCUGCAAUCCUUUACAUCCCAUUAAAUCAAUUUGUCACCCUGGGAACCCAGCCACCAUGUUAUUAGGAAGUACAAACCACAUGGAGAGGCCAGUGAUGAACAUACUGGUCAACAGCUUCAAGUAGCAGCCAGUAUUACCCACAAGAUAUGUGAGCAAGGAAGUCUUCAAAUCAUUCCAGAACCCAGAUUUCCAGCUGCCCCAGCUGACACCUAUUGUAACAAGGAUGAACUAUCCCUACUGAACCCUGGAACCCUGCCCAAACUAUAGAUUGAUGAGUAUAAUAGAUGUUUUUGUUGUGUUAAGCCACUGAAUUUUGGGGCAAUGUUUUUUAAUCUGGACUUAUAAGUAGAAUGAUCAAUAUGACUAUGUGAGGCAAAGAAACUCUGAAUGAAACUCUGAAAUACCUCUUGAAAGAGUUUGCAGAAUACUAAAGCAGCAUAGGAUAAGCAUACAAAUCUUUAUAGUAUAAGGCAGAAUAUUUUCACAAAAUGUGUAAUCAUAAAGGCAUAAUGGUCAUGAAGGUUGUUAGGCUGACACAGGACACGUACCAAUUUUGGAGUCAGGAAAUACUUCAUGGAAGAGGUGGCAUUUCAGAUGUACUUUGUACAUUUAUUUCCGGGAAAAUUAUGUGUUUUUAUUCUUAUACAAAAUUUGUACUUUGAUGAUAAUUUAGUUUCUUAGGACUAUAGCAUAAGUCUGAUAAAUGUAGUUUUAAAGAAAUUUCUUUCCCAUUCUCAGUCAAUACUCUGUCCAUAUAUGCAGACUAAAAAUAAGUGUGGAAUGAGACCCUCUGCAUGAGUUCUAUAAUAAAAUCUGUCGGACAUGCAAAGAGAUAAAUAGAUGUAUUUGCUUCACGUCUUUCACUAGGGCUUAGGAGACAUUUGGGGCACCUGAAAGUGCAUAGGCAGUUAAAUUGAACAAUUAGCUGCCCAGUUGUAUAUUUAUUGUAAACACCAAGAUAACUUAAAUAAUGUUGCAGGUAUAACUUGAGGAUUUAACCCACAUGUACGAAAUAUCCUCUAUCAGAGCAAUUUGUAAGCUGUGUAGUUAAGGAAGGGUAGAAGUCAAAGCUGCUGGGAAUUAGAAAUAUAGAUUUUAUUCUUCGCUUUUCAAUCUUCCAGUUAAGUGCUUCUCAAUUCCUAGUGAAUGUCCCAGUGUGAAUGCCUCUGGGAGAAUUACCUUCAGACUACCAAACCAGAGUCAUUAUUUUGAAUAGCCUUACAUUGCUAAGAUGUUUUAAUUCACAUCUAGAAUUUCCCAAGUAGUGAAGUGGCCUCAGGGCUAAAUCAGACCACAAACUGUAAGAGUUUCAGAAUUCAGAUAUUUCUCAAAAACAUCACAAACCCAAACCUGAGAUCUAUACAAACUAGGUAAUGCCUUUUUAGGCCAAAUUUAUGCUAAAGAAUUUUUACGGGAUAGAAAUUCAUCAGAUAAUUGUUCAUUUUUCAACAGUGAUUAAAAACGCAAUUGUAAUGUCUAACGUAUAAUUUUAAAUACUCUAAUAUUCAUGUGUAACUAAGCUAUAUGACUCAAAUUUCUUAUUCAGUAUUUGUUCUCCACCCCUCCCCCAUUCCAAUAGCAAAACGCUAAGAAAUCCAUGAACCCAAUUUGCUCUAUCUUGAUAAUUUCUUGACACUGUAUACUUACAUUGGCUCAACCAUACUAAAAGCAUAUUAGUUUCUCCUUCAUUAUGAAAGUUAAAACCAAUGAAUUAGCCCACAGCGUCUCAUUCAAUAUCGACUUGCCUGAAGUCCAUAUUGGGUAACAGCUGUAUAAACAUAAAACAGUUCUGCCCUCUGGAUGGUGAAUUACUGCAAGGAGGAAUGUGCUGUGAUUUAGUUCUCCAAAGUUAAGAGCAUAAUGUGAAUAUUUACCAUAUUUGCAAUUAAGAUAAUAAAACUAUGAUGUCCAGUGGUUCUCAACUAAGAGUAAAUUUGGCAAAAUCUUGGGACAUUUAUUCCAACCAGGAGGCAUCCAGUAGGCAGAGGCUAGGAAUCCUGCUAACUGUCCUACAAUAUAAGGACAGCUCUCCAAACAAAGAGUUAUCUGGUCCAAAACAUCAAUAAUGCCAAGGUUGAAAAACUCUGCCGUAUACCUCUUGUUAAAAUUUUUUUUUUCAUUUGGCUUAUAAACAUCCAAGUAACAAUACAUUUACUCCUCAUACUUUCAAUUUUUAGAUAAAAUAUUUUAUUUUUUAAAUUUAAAAACUGCAGAAUAUUAAUGAGUUUGAAUAAAGAUGUUUCUUGAAACAAAAAACUAUUGAUUGACCCAUUGAAGUUCCAAAUGGUACUUGAAAAGAAAUGGUAUUUUAGAUAAUAGAGAUGAGUGCUAUUUAUUUCUGAAGCUGUCUUAGGUGAACAUCCAGGUAUAAAAGUGACUUGAGGGAUAUUGAAAAGGUUAAUUCAAUAUGCUUCAUAAAGCGGUUCCAGCUUAAGUCCUCUUGGGUGUAGGAGUUAAGGGGACCUUAGGAGUUAGGGGGACCUACGCCAAAUCAAGAGGAAUGAAGGUAAUGAUCUUAGCAGCAUUGUCGAAGCAUCGCUACUCCCUAGAGGGAGAGAUUGUUACUUAGGUGAAAGCGUGUACUUGGCUCCCUCUUCUAUCAUUUCAGCCAGUAAAUUAAGCAUCCACUGGAAGACACAAUUUAAAGAUUUGAUAAAAUUGAAAAAAAAGAAAGCGAAGAGAGAGAAAUAAGGAGCCACAAAUGCUAAUGUUUAAAAUAGUCUCUGGCUGGAGAGAUCUCUUUCUAAGUGACGGUAUGUGAGAAACCGACGUUAUGGCCACAGUUUUCAUUUGUAUUCUGCACUUGCUUCUCUCUCGUCUAUGACUUAAAUCAACUAACCUUGAAG
rnacentral:lncRNA from 1 species